rnacentral:rRNA from 1 species
AGAACUAGCUUGCUAGUUGCUGACGAGUGGCGGACGGGUGAGUAAUGUAUAGGAACUUGCCUAGUAGUGGGGGACAACGUGUGGAAACGCACGCUAAUACCGCAUAAGCUCUACGGAGGAAAACGGGGGAUCUUCGGACCUCGUGCUACUAGAUGGGCCUAUAUUGGAUUAGCUAGUUGGUAAGGUAAAGGCUUACCAAGGCGACGAUCCAUAGCUGGUUUGAGAGAAUGAUCAGCCACACUGGGACUGAGACACGGCCCAGACUCCUACGGGAGGCAGCAGUGGGGAAUAUUGCACAAUGGAGGAAACUCUGAUGCAGCAAUGCCGCGUGUGUGAAGAAGGCCUUAGGGUUGUAAAGCACUUUCAGACGUGAGGAAAAGUUAUCUAUUAAUACUAGAUAGCCCUGACGUUAACGUCAGAAGAAGCACCGGCUAACUCCGUGCCAGCAGCCGCGGUAAUACGGAGGGUGCAAGCGUUAAUCGGAAUUACUGGGCGUAAAGCGCGCGUAGGCGGUUAAAUAAGUCAGAUGUGAAAUCCCUGGGCUCAACCUAGGAACUGCAUUUGAAACUGUUUGGCUAGAGUAUGGUAGAGGUGAGUGGAAUUUCAGGUGUAGCGGUGAAAUGCGUAGAGAUCUGAAGGAACAUCAGUGGCGAAGGCGACUCACUGGGCCAUUACUGACGCUGAGGUGCGAAAGCGUGGGU